AUGUUCUCUGUAGCUGUGCUGCUGCUGCUGGCUGCUGGAUCCUGUGUUGAUGGUCAGACUCUGACAGAAUCUGAACCAGCAGUUAAAAGUCCUGGAGGAUCUCACAGAUUGACCUGUACAACCUCUGGAUUCACAUUCAGCAGCUACAACAUGGCCUGGAUCAGACAGGCUCCUGGAAAAGGACUGGAGUGGAUUGCAACUGAUACAGGCAACCAGUACUACUCUCAGUCAGUCAGAGGGCGGUUUACCAUCUCCAGAGACAACAGCAGACAGCAGCUGUAUCUGCAGAUGAACAGUCUGAAGACUGAAGAUUCUGCUGUUUAUUAUUGUGCUCGAGAGCCACAGUGGCUGGAGUUGGUUGAGCAGCUGUACAAAAACCUACAGUCCUCACCUUCACUCUGCUGGUAG